rnacentral:rRNA from 1 species
AUACGAAGGGUGCAAGCGUUGUUCGGAUUUAUUGGGCGUAAAGCGCGCGCAGGCGGACUACCAAGUCAGAUGUGAAAUCUCGGGGCUCAACCCCGAAACUGCGUCUGAAACUGGUAGUCUAGAAUCUCGGAGGGGGUUGGGGAAUUUCGCAUGUAGGGGUAAAAUCCGUAGAGAUGCGAAGGAACACCAGUGGCGAAGGCGCCAACCUGGACGAGUAUUGACGCUGAGGCGCGAAAGCGUGGGGAGCAAACAGGAUUAGAUACCCUGGUAGUCCACGCCGUAAACGAUGAGAACUAGUUGUCAUGGGUUUUACCCCUAUGGUGACAUAGCUAACGCGUUAAGUUCUCCGCCUGGGGAGUACGGUCGCAAGACUAAA